GAUGAACGCUGGCGGCGUGCCUAACACAUGCAAGUCGAGCGAACCCUUCGGGGUGAGCGGCGGACGGGUGAGUAACACGUGGGUGAUCUGCCCUGCACUUCGGGAUAAGCCUGGGAAACUGGGUCUAAUACCGGAUAGGACUCCGGACUGCAUGGUCUGGGGUGGAAAGCUUUUGCGGUGUGGGAUGGGCCCGCGGCCUAUCAGCUUGUUGGUGGGGUGAUGGCCUACCAAGGCGACGACGGGUAGCCGGCCUGAGAGGGUGACCGGCCACACUGGGACUGAGAUCCGGCCCAGACUCCUACGGGAGGCAGCAGUGGGGAAUAUUGCACAAUGGGCGCAAGCCUGAUGCAGCGACGCCGCGUGAGGGAUGACGGCCUUCGGGUUGUAAACCUCUUUCAGCAUCGACGAAGCGAAAGUGACGGUAGGUGCAGAAGAAGGACCGGCCAACUACGUGCCAGCCGCCGCGGUAA
rnacentral:rRNA from 1 species